rnacentral:lncRNA from 1 species
UGAGGCCUCUGUUGCCGCUGCCUCACCGUUCAACUUCUCUCUUUCCUCAAUCUUGCUUCUCUCAUUGCCUUACUGGUGUUUGUCCUGAGAGCAUGCCCUCCACAAAUGUAACAUUUCUCAGAGUGCUAUUAUCAGGAUUUAUGAGAAAGUUGAGGUGCAGAGAGGUCAAGGAACUUGUUGCAGCUCACUGAACUGUGGCUGGUCUACUUGUGGGUACAAAGGCCCAGACCCAUUGUUUCAACUGGAGACCUGUGAAGGGCGAUCCCAGCCUCAGAACCUCGCAUGGGAUGGACUCAGUACUCUGCUGCAACUGCAUUUCAGUUUAACUUCUCCCUUUACCCAGUCCUAACUUCCUUAUUCCCUAAAAAAUGUUUCUGGGAGUGCUCCUCAGUAAACUUCA